rnacentral:lncRNA from 1 species
UAGGAAACAGUGACUUCCAGGCAUCCAAGAUGACACAACAUAGAUUGCCAAAUUGCAUGCCACCCUGCAGUUGCCAAGGAGAUAAUUUUCAGGUAUGUCAUGAUCAGCAGUGUGAAAAUGGACUAAUACAGCAGACAUUUCUCAAAAGAAGACAUGGAAAUUGUAAACAGAUAUAGGUAAAGGUGCUCAACAUCACUGAUCAUCAGAGAAAUGCAAAUCAAAACUACAAUGACGCAUCAUCUCACCCCAGGUAAAAUAGCUUAUAUCCAAAAGGCAGGCAAUAGCAAACACUGGAGAUAAAUUAGUACAACCACUAUGGAGAACAGUUGGAGAGUCCUCAAAAAACUAAAAAUAAAGCUACCAUAUGAUUCAGCAAUUCCACUACUGGGUGUAUACCCAAAAGAAAGGAAAUCAGUAUAUCAGAGAGAUAUCUGCACUCCUAUGUUUGUUUCAGAUCUGUCUACAAUAGCUAAGAUUUGGAAGCAACCUAAGUGUCUAUAAACUGAUAAAUGAUUAGAGAAAAUGUGGUACAUAUAUACAGUGAAUGACUAUUCAGCCAUAAAAAAGAAUGAGAUCCAGUCAUUUGCUACAACAUGGAUGGAAAUGGAGAUCAUCAAGUUAAGUGACAUAAUCCAGGCACAGAAAGAUAAACCUUGCAUGUUCUCACUUAUUUGUGGGAUCUAAAAAUCAAAACAAUUGAACUCAUGAACAUAGAGGGUAAAAUGAUGGUUACCAGAGACUGGGAAGGGUAGCG